AUCUGGCAACGAGGCUGCGAGGAAAUCUUAAUGAUAUUGGACAUAUUGUUUUCCCCGGUGUACAAGGUAGAGUUGAAAGAUGCAAGUGGUGUUUCUGAUCACUUUCCUUUUGGUCUCAGCUCACUGCACACCAUGGAAACCACCGAUCAACAGAGCGACUACCAGAGCCCCCAUGCUGCCGUCACCACCGAGAACAGAAAUUGCUCCUCCUCUGACUCCGAGGCCCCCAGGCCCUUUCACCCCAGACAGACGGGGAGACACGUGAUUCAUGAAGUUCUGCAGGGAUUUCAGAGCGAAAGGCAGCUUCUUCCCCCGCAUCCACACCACAGCUGACGAUCCAACACAGCAGCUCUCUGCUCCGUGUCCCACAAGGGACCCUCUUCUGUAUCCUGGCUAAAAUGGCACUUCAUUAAAAAUGUUUCUGUCACUACGAUAUUCCCAAAUGGAAUGAUAUUUCCCAUCAUUAUCAGCCUUUAAAGAGAGAUGGGGAAAACGAACAAAGGAAUCGAGGGAACAGGAUCUCUUUUUUCCUGGGAAGCCCUAGGUGUAGCUAAAAAUCAAGAGGUUCUAUGACAAAGGAAGAGGGCAAGAGGAUACUGGGGUGGUGGUGGGUGACAGGACUGUCUCCAGGUGACAUCCAAGCCCUUGAGAGACCACUGGGAUGUUUCCAGCAAGAGGAGAUGGUAUUCUGACCCUUUUAACUGGGACAGAAAUUUGAUGAAGCUCAGGGGAAAUGCACCUAAAAUUUCCCCUUAUCUUAUUUGGGAGGCAGAGUUAGCAGUUUCUCCCUAAUCACAGAUGUGCAAAGAAAAGGG
rnacentral:lncRNA from 9 species